rnacentral:rRNA from 1 species
GGUAAUACGUAGGGUGCAAGCGUUAAUCGGAAUUACUGGGCGUAAAGCGUGUGUAGGCGGUUCGGAAAGAAAGAUGUGAAAUCCCAGGGCUCAACCUUGGAACUGCAUUUUUAACUGCCGAGCUAGAGUAUGUCAGAGGGGGGUAGAAUUCCACGUGUAGCAGUGAAAUGCGUAGAUAUGUGGAGGAAUACCGAUGGCGAAGGCAGCCCCCUGGGAUAAUACUGACGCUCAGACACGAAAGCGUGGGGAGCAAACAGGAUUAGAUACCCUGGUAGUCCACGCCCUAAACGAUGUCAACUAGCUGUUGGGGCCGUUAGGCCUUAGUAGCGCAGCUAACGCGUGAAGUUGACCGCCUGGGGAGUACGGUCGCAAGAUUAAAACUCAAAGGAAUUGACGGGGACCCGCACAAGCGGUGGAUGAUGUGGAUUAAUUCGAUGCAACGCGAAAAACCUUACCUACCCUUGACAUGUCUGGAAUGCCGAAGAGAUUUGGCAGUGCUCGCAAGAGAACCGGAACACAGGUGCUGCAUGGCUGUCGUCAGCUCGUGUCGUGAGAUGUUGGGUUAAGUCCCGCAACGAGCGCAACCCUUGUCAUUAGUUGCUACGCAAGAGCACUCUAAUGAGACUGCCGGUGACAAACCGGAGGAAGGUGGGGAUGACGUCAAGUCCUCAUGGCCCUUAUGGGUAGGGCUUCACACGUCAUACAAUGGUCGGGACAGAGGGUCGCCAACCCGCGAGGGGGAGCCAAUCUCAGAAACCCGAUCGUAGUCCGGAUCGCAGUCUGCAACUCGACUGCGUGAAGUCGGAAUCGCUAGUAAUCGCGGAUCAGAAUGUCGCGGUGAAUACGUUCCCGGGUCUUGUACACACCGCCCGUCACACCAUGGGAGUGGGUUUCACCAGAAGUAGGUAGCCUAACCGUAAGGAGGGCGCUUACCACGGUGGGAUUCAUGACUGGGGUGAAGUCGUAACAAGGUAACCGAA